UACAGCUAUAUCGCGUUGAAGCACUGGUUCUAGUAUGAUCAACGAAGUUAAACAAUGUUGAGCCAUGUCAGUACCUAGAUGGGUGACUGCUUGGAAAUACUAGGUACUGUAAG